GCGCUCAGGCGGUGGGAGCGGGUGCGCAGCUAGCUGCGAGAAUUAAUGUGAAUUGCAGGACACGUUGAUCAUGGACACUAUGAACGCACUUGAGGCCCCGGGUUCCUCCUGGGGCUACAGCUAUCUGAGAGGCC
rnacentral:rRNA from 14 species